GAGGGCGGCGAUGCGGGCGGAUUCCCCCCGGCUGCCCGGCGGCGGCGGCACCUCAGCUCCCAGCAGCGGCGGCGGCCAUGUUGGCCCUGAUCACGUGAUCCGUCGUCGUAACGCGCUGGAGUCUUUCAGGGAUUGACCACAGAGUCUGCAGCUGGACUACACCUGCCCUGCGUUGCCUGUUUCAGUAGCCUGUUGUACCACACCUAUUCCAUCCUGACCCCUGACAGCUUUGCAAAGCUACCUAUAAAUCUUCUCAACACCCUGUGCUCUGGUUCAGACAGCUCCACGCUCUGUGGUAGCCACUGCUCACUGCAAGGCUCCAUUUUUUAAUUUUUUUUAUUUCCUACCCCAUUACUAGGUUUGUUGUCUCUUGAGUUUUCUCAGUUCCUUAGCUUUCUUCUGAUCACGUGUAUUUUCACUAUCUAAAUGUUUCUUUUCUUUGGGGGGCAGCACAGCUCUGUCUAGUCACCAAGCAUAGGUCUGGCAUGAAGGAGAUAUCAGCAGAACAGAGACACAAGCCCUGGGCCAAUAAAGAGCUGGGGGAUUGCUGUGGUUUGAAUAUAGAAUUAUCCCUUGUGGGCCCCCAUGUUAAAGGCUUGA